GACGAACGCUGGCGGCGUGCCUAAUACAUGCAAGUAGAACGCACAGUUUAUACCGUAGCUUGCUACACCAUAAACUGUGAGUUGCGAACGGGUGAGUAACGCGUAGGUAACCUGCCUGGUAGCGGGGGAUAACUAUUGGAAACGAUAGCUAAUACCGCAUAAUAUUGAUUAUUGCAUGAUAAUUGAUUGAAAGAUGCUAUUGCAUCACUACCAGAUGGACCUGCGUUGUAUUAGCUAGUAGGUGAGGUAACGGCUCACCUAGGCGACGAUACAUAGCCGACCUGAGAGGGUGAUCGGCCACACUGGGACUGAGACACGGCCCAGACUCCUACGGGAGGCAGCAGUAGGGAAUCUUCGGCAAUGGACGAAAGUCUGACCGAGCAACGCCGCGUGAGUGAAGAAGGGUGUCGGAUCGUAAAGCUCUGUUGUAAGAGAAGAACGGGUGUGAGAGUGGAAAGUUCACACUGUGACGGUAGCUUACCAGAAAGGGACGGCUAACUACGUG
rnacentral:rRNA from 1 species